rnacentral:rRNA from 1 species
UAGUGGCGGACGGGUGAGUAACACGUGAGAAUCUGCCCUUAGGAGGAGGAUAACAGCUGGAAACGGUUGCUAAUACUCCAUAUGCCGAGAGGUGAAAGGAUUUAUCCACCUAAGGAGGAGCUCGCGUCUGAGUAGCUAGUUGGUAGGGUAAAGGCCUACCAAGGCGACGAUCAGUAGCUGGUUUGAGAGGAUGAUCAGCCACACUGGGACUGAGACACGGCCCAGACUCC